AUUGAACGCUAGCGGGAUGCCUUACACAUGCAAGUCGAACGGAGUGGCGAACGGGUGAGUAAUGUAUCGUAACGUGCCCAGUAGCGGGGGAUAACUACGCGAAAGCGUAGCUAAUACCGCAUACUUUUGGAGCGGCUGAUAUCGGAUUAGCUAGUUGGUGGGGUAAGGGCUCACCAAGGCGACGAUCCGUAGCUGGUUUGAGAGGACGACCAGCCACACUGGGACUGAGACACGGCCCAGACUCCUACGGGAGGCAGCAGUGGGGAAUUUUGGACAAUGGGGGAAACCCUGAUCCAGCCAUGCCGCGUGUAUGAAGAAGGCCUUCGGGUUGUAAAGUACUUUCGGCGGGGAAGCGUUACUCACAGAAGAAGCACCGGCUAACUCCGUGCCAGCAGCCGCGGUAAUUC
rnacentral:rRNA from 1 species